AGCGGCGACCAUACCAUAUUGGAAACAACGGUUCUCGUCUGAUCACCAAAGUUAAGCAACGUUGAGCCCAGUUGGUUCGUGCAUGGGUGACCGGCUGGGAAUACCGGGUGUUGCGGCCC
rnacentral:rRNA from 1 species